GCCCGUGUUGCUAAGUGGUUAGAGCGUUGGCCCACGCACUGAAGGGUUGCGGGUUCGAUUCCCAGUCAAGGGCA
rnacentral:tRNA from 1 species